rnacentral:rRNA from 1 species
UACGGGGGGAGCAAGCGCUGUUCGGAUUUACUGGGCGUAAAGGGCGCGUAGGCGGCCUGUGCAAGUCAGUUGUGAAAUCUCCGGGCUUAACUCGGAAAGGUCAACUGAUACUGCUCGGCUAGAGUGCGGAAGGGGCAACUGGAAUUCUUGGUGUAGCGGUGAAAUGCGUAGAUAUCAAGAGGAACACCUGCGGCGAAGGCGGGUUGCUGGGCCGACACUGACGCUGAUGCGCGAAAGCCAGGGGAGCGAACAGG